UACGUAGGGGGCGAGCGUUGUCCGGAUUCAUUGGGCGUAAAGAGCUCGUAGGCGGUUCGGUAAGUCAGGUGUGAAAUCUCCACGCUCAACGUGGAGGGGCCACCUGAUACUGCCGUGACUCGAGUCCGGUAGGGGAGUGUGGAAUUCCCGGUGUAGCGGUGAAAUGCGCAGAUAUCAGGAGGAACACCGGUGGCGAAGGCGGGUCUCUGGGCCGAUAUUGACGCUGAGGAGCGAAAGCGUGGGGAGCGAACGGG
rnacentral:rRNA from 1 species